GAUGAACGCUGGCGGCGUGCCUAAUACAUGCAAGUCGAGCGAACAGAUGAGGAGCUUGCUCCUCUGACGUUAGCGGCGGACGGGUGAGUAACACGUGGAUAACCUACCUAUAAGACUGGGAUAACUUCGGGAAACCGGAGCUAAUACCGGAUAAUAUAUUGAACCGCAUGGUUCAAUAGUGAAUGACGGUUUUGCUGUCACUUAUAGAUGGAUCCGCGCCGCAUUAGCUAGUUGGUAAGGUAACGGCUUACCAAGGCAACGAUGCGUAGCCGACCUGAGAGGGUGAUCGGCCACACUGGAACUGAGACACGGUCCAGACUCCUACGGGAGGCAGCAGUAGGGAAUCUUCCGCAAAGGGCGAAAGCCUGACGGAGCAACGCCGCGUGAGUGAUGAAGGUCUUCGGAUCGUAAAACUCUGUUAUUAGGGAAGAACAAAUGUGUAAGUAACUAUGCACGUCUUGACGGUACCUAAUCAGAAAGCCACGGCUAACUACGUG
rnacentral:rRNA from 1 species